rnacentral:rRNA from 1 species
UUUAGACUUAUAUAUAAUCAAGAAAAAAAGUAGUUAUCUUCUUCAUAACUCAAAGAAUUUGGCGGUUAAUAAAAAUUAUUAGAGGAACCUGUAUUAUAAUUGAUAAUCCACGAUAGUUAAUACCUUAUUUAUAUUUGUAUAUCUCUAUGGAAUAUAGAUUAUUUAAAAAAAAUAUUUUCUUUGAGUAUAAUCAUUUAUUUUAGGUCAAGGUGCAGUUUUAAUCAGGUAAAUAUGGGUUACUUUAUUAGUAAAUUUAUAUUAAACUAGAUGUUUAAAUUAUUUUAGGAUUUAAAAGUAAUAUAAAACAAAUUAGUUUUUAUGAAUAAUUAUUUAUUAGUGU